AGUGGCGGACGGGUGAGUAACGCGUGAGAAUCUGCCUUGGGGUCGGGGACAACCACUGGAAACGGUGGCUAAUACCGGAUAAGCCGAUUGGUGAAAGAUUUAUUGCCCGAAGAGGAGCUCGCGUCUGAUUAGCUAGUUGGUGAGGUAAGAGCUCACCAAGGCAGCGAUCAGUAGCUGGUCUGAGAGGACGAUCAGCCACACUGGGACUGAGACACGGCCCAGACUCCUACGGGAGGCAGCAGUGGGGAAUUUUCCGCAAUGGGCGAAAGCCUGACGGAGCAAGACCGCGUGAGGGAGGAAGGCUCUUGGGUUGUAAACCUCUUUUCUCAGGGAAGAAGAUCUGACGGUACCUGAGGAAUCAGCCUCGGCUAACUCCGUGCCAGCAGCCGCGGUAAUACGGAGGAGGCAAGCGUUAUCCGGAAUUAUUGGGCGUAAAGCGUCCGCAGGUGGCGAUUCAAGUCUGCUGUCAAAGCACGGGGCUUAACUCCGUAAAGGCAGUGGAAACUGAAUAGCUAGAGUGCCGUAGGGGUAGAGGGAAUUCCCGGUGUAGCGGUGAAAUGCGUUGAGAUCGGGAAGAACAUCGGUGGCGAAAGCGCUCUACUGGACGGCAACUGACACUCAGGGACGAAAGCUAGGGGAGCGAAUGGGAUUAGAUACCCC
rnacentral:rRNA from 1 species